rnacentral:tRNA from 1 species
AAUAAAGUGGCUGAAUUAUAAGGCGAUAAAUUGUAAAUUUAUUUAUGGUGUAAACCCUUUAUUA